AGUGAACGCUGGCGGCAGGCCUAACACAUGCAAGUCGAGCGGCAGCGCGGGGGCAACCCUGGCGGCGAGCGGCGGACGGGUGAGUAAUUCGUCGGAAUCUGCCCUUUUGUGGGGGAUAGCGUAGGGAAACUUACGCUAAUACCGCAUACGUCCUACGGGAGAAAGUGGGGGACCGCAAGGCCUCACGCAGAAAGAUGAGCCGACGACCGAUUAGCUAGUUGGUGGGGUAAAGGCCCACCAAGGCGACGAUCGGUAGCUGGUCUGAGAGGAUGAUCAGCCACACUGGGACUGAGACACGGCCCAGACUCCUACGGGAGGCAGCAGUGGGGAAUAUUGGACAAUGGGCGCAAGCCUGAUCCAGCCAUGCCGCGUGUGUGAAGAAGGCCUUCGGGUUGUAAAGCACUUUUGUCCGGAAAGAAAUCCCUGGAGCUAAUACCUUCGGGGGAUGACGGUACCGGAAGAAUAAGCACCGGCUAACUUCGUG
rnacentral:rRNA from 1 species